AUUGAACGCUGGCGGCAGGCCUAACACAUGCAAGUCGAGCGAGAAAGGUCUUCGGGCUGAGUACAGCGGCGGACGGGUGAGUAACGCGUAGGAAUCUACCUGGUAGUGGGGGACAACAUGGUGAAAACCAUGCUAAUACCGCAUACGCCCUAUGGGGGAAAGCGGGGGACCUUCGGGCCUCGCGCUAUCAGAUGAGCCUGCGUAGGAUUAGCUUGUUGGUGAGGUAAAGGCUCACCAAGGCGACGAUCCUUAGCUGGUCUGAGAGGAUGAUCAGCCACACUGGAACUGAGACACGGUCCAGACUCCUACGGGAGGCAGCAGUGGGGAAUAUUGCGCAAUGGGCGAAAGCCUGACGCAGCCAUGCCGCGUGAGCGAUGAAGGCCUUAGGGUUGUAAAGCUCUUUCAGUGGGGAAGAUAAUGACUGUACCCACAGAAGAAGCCCCGGCUAACUCCGUG
rnacentral:rRNA from 1 species